UACAAAGCCCCGUGGUAGGUUGUGCUGUUGUGGUUAAUUAGGCCAACAGGUAACAGGUGAGGGGGUAAGCUUAUCAGUUAAUUACCCUCCCCCUUUACCUCCCUACCCAGUGUUAGGGCAAUCCCAAGACUGCUUGGUAGAGAGAAGUUUGUUAUCAGUAGAAGGAAGCAUGACUGGUUGAGAUCCGGGAUGUUAGGGGAGGUAAUGCAUGGAAUGGUCAGGAUGCAGCCUUUGCUCUUCCAAGUCCAUCUUUUCUUCCUAUGCUUCUCUCAGUUACCAAGUGGAGCUGCGGCUGGUCCAGACUCAGGCUCAGGUUUAGGGCUGCCUCACAGUUCUACAAGUGAUAUGGUAAGAGAGCUUCAGGACCCUCAACAUGCUGAGCUUGAGAAGAGAUUAUUUUGGACUGAAAUUUAUGUCCCUGUGAGACGCUGCCAUGCCAUCUUAAAGAACAAAAAGGGGGAGUUUUCAGUCCCAGUCAUUCGGAAUCGCCGUUUUAAGAACAUCUGGUGUAACUGGACCAUCUGGGCAGGCCCCAGAAACCACAUUAUCAUCUAUGUCCAAGGGUUUAGGGGAAGCAAGGAUUGUAAAGAAAAUGCAGAUAAAAUUAUAUUUGAGAGUGUUGCCUCUAUUAUGGAAAGCACCAUUGCCUAUGCUUGUUGGAACAAGAGAGUACACGUCUAUGCAUCUCAGGCCUUGGCUGUGAAUGUGGCAUUGCUGUUAAAUAACUAUACCUGGAACCAACGAUAUAAAUAUUUUAGAGGGAAAUAUUAUAUCUUCAGAGAUCCCAGGGAAAGAACUUUAGAGAAAGGGGAUCUAACUUACAAAGUUCCUCUUCAAAGACCUUCCUGCAAGCUUACUUACAGUAGUACUGGGCUAAAGGUUGAACUACCAGUUGGGACAUCUCAAAGAGGUCUAGAGGUGACCUCUCCUGAACCAAUGCCAUCAAAAGAUCUUCAACCAGAGGGAUCUUUCACAUGGGGAAGAGAGGAGGUAGAGUUUUCUGAGAUCUCUUUGCCUUACUUAUUUCCAUUGAACUCUGAGAGGUUAUCUGGUAAAUCCCAGGUAGACAGCAUCAUCAGCACAAAAACACUAGAUGUGGGUGAGAUGAGCCUUGGGGAUGGAUUGUUUUUCAAAGCUCUAGGGAAAACUGCAGCCCUUGAUAUUAGAUGGUUGGAAAUUACACAAGAAAAGAACAUUCUUUCCCUUGGGUCUACUAUGGAUGGCUCAACAGUUGACCUUGAUAUCCUUUAUGAAAAUACUCCUUACCUUGUGAGUCCUACACCAUCAACUACAAUGGGAGAUGAAUCUAUAAAUAUCAAAUCAGAAAGAGUUGAUAAUCAAACUGACUACUUAAUUCCCACUUCAGAGGAUGCUACAAUAAACAUUAAGCCAAUUCCCAUAAGCCAUUCCAUUUUGGGUAUUCUCUCAGAUACAGAAUUCCUUGAAAAGACUAAAUACUCUAAAAAUGAGAAGAUUCAGAUCAGUCCCUCCCAGAUAAGGAGUAGUUUAUCUGGAAGUGAACAGCAGUCCUUUCUGCAGACUGAAGUCCUGACUCAGGAAGCUUUAACAAUAUCCACUGAUUCUAUGGAGAUUCAUAUAUCCAGUAUUGACCUGGCCUAUGAAACUCAGUUCCCUCUUGAAGGUUCCUUGCACUCAAUCCCCGUGGUUCCAACAGUUCAUACAGCUAUGGAUUUUUCUCCUAAAUCUUCUCAAGAAAUCUUCAGUGACAUGGGGUUCAUGCUUAUGGUGACAUCUCUAGAUGGCAGAGGAUUAGUCCCUGAACUGCCUUCAACCAUCUCCAUUAGAUCCACAGAGGUCAGAACUGAGGCUGAGCCAGAACUUCUCCAAACAGCCAGAUCACUUCCAGGGCUAGCAGAGACAGAAAGCUUGUCCAGCUGUGUGAUCUCUGAAGAAGCCCCUAGUAGGCAUCAAAUGAGUCUUGCUGAAUCAUACCUGAAGUUUGUUGUCAGUCAAGAAAGGUUUCUUCCCUUUACUACUUACCAGGAGAAUCUAUCUGAUGUUGAAUUGACCCUAACUCCUUCCCAAGUGAUUAAGUCUGUAAGUGUCUCUGAGUGGGUUCUCCAAAAAAUUCCAGUGUCCAUUCCCUCAGUCUAUCACAGUGAACAAGUUUCAACUGAGCAGACUUUAGGGAUCCCUUUGACUUUAACCCAGGGAGCUAUGCUAAAAGCCAAACAGCCUUCCAUGACCCCAUUUGAGACUAGAACUGAGAUAGACUCCAUGCUGGUUGUUCAAAGUAUAACCACACCUUUUGGUUCAGUGCAUCAUGAAGAAGAGAGCAUGGCAGCUACUGUGUUCUCUUUUGGGAUUCCCUUGAGUCACCAUCCAAAUUUUUCUAAGAGCAACAUGGAAUGUUAUUUCUCAAAUCCAACUGCAGAAUCUCUUGCCUUCCUCCCCACUCCUACACCAAGCAUAAAUGAAGACAAGCAUACUCUUAGAAGUUUAUCAAGUCAUUCCUGGACUGAUCCAGGAGAAAUGUUUUCAAGUGUAGGAAAAACUGAGCCACUUCCACUGUUUGCUUUGAAGAAUGUAGGUGUUACUACCUCUGAAUCAAGUCCUAGAAGACUUGGACUUAGCGUAAAGAAUUUCUUUGACCCAUUAGAAGGUGAAUCCCUUAUUGAAAAAGGAACACAGAGUAUAUCUCAACUAGUCUCCAAGGACAAUUUUUCACAAGGUAGGGAUGCUUCUUCAGGAAGUAAGAUUUCCUUGGUUUCUAAAACUUAUUCUAAAAUGACUCUCCUGUCAGCUCUGCAAUCAAUCCCUAGCAGUGCCAUGACUAUAUCUUGGAAACCUGAUGAAAUUCAGACCGAAAUGACUGUUCAGCCCUCAAAGAAGGAUGAGACAGUGAAUAAAAGCAAGCCUUGGAAACCCUUCAACUCCUUUGGACAGAACCAGAAUCUUGCCAAAGCCAACUUUAUAUCUUUGUUCCCUAGUGUUCCAUCAAUGUCCUUGGGUAAGUGGGACCAGACAGGGGACCUUCCUGCAGUCUCCUCAUCCCCGCCUCUCUGGUCUAAGGAUACAGACCUUUUGGAAGCCAAAAAUCUUCAAGACUCUGAGAUCUUUACUCCAUCCAGCAUGGUAGCGUAUCUUCCUAUAAGAAGGUGUCAUGUGGUUUUGGAAGAUACCUUUGGAACUUUUUCAUUGCCAGAGGAUCUAAGUACUUCUUGGCCAAACAUCUGGUGUAACUGGACUAUCUGGGCAGGGACCAAGAAACACAUUAUUGUUUACAUCAAAGGAUUUGAGGGGCCUGAGAACUGUGAUGAAAGCCAGGACAAAAUAAUUUUUCAAGGGGUCUCAUCAAGUGUGGAAAGGAAAAUCUUCUAUGCAUGUAGAAAGCAAGGAACUUUGACUUUUGCUACUCAAGCCCUGGCUGUCCACAUAGUGUUUCUCUCUAUGAGAUCUUAUCCUAGACAUAUUCCAUCUUUUGAAGGCGAGUAUUUUAUCUUCACAGACCCAGAGAGACAAGUUCCUCCUAAAUCUGUCUUUGGGUCUUCCCAAGCAACUUCUCAGAGGCUCAGAGAGAGGAGUCCAAGUAGCCUGAAUUCUCAUCCUGACCUAGUGUCAAAACUGUCCUUUGGGAGUUUUCCAAACAUGAACAGCAUCUGUACAGGUCUGGAGGACAAAAGACAAAUAGUCACUGAGACACUGAUCAUGAAGAACAAAGAGCUAGUAGAGAGAGAAAGAAAGGGUCUUGAAAGGAAGCAACUGUGUGGCUUCCUUCCUCUGAUCCCUACUAAAGGUCCAUUGAUAAUGAACAAAAACCCAUCACCUCUCCUGAUUAGGCAGAAACUCAGCAGAUCCAUAGACAGUAUAAAAAAUUCAGUUCAAAGAGACUCUGCUGUCAGGAUGGCAUUAAUCCCAAAUAUCUUGUAUGAGCACAAACCAGAAAAUAAAGCUACUCAAGGUGACUUGCCUGUAGACUCAUUGUUAAUAUACUCUCAUUGGCCUUCUAAGACUUUGCCCUUGACAAAACUGCUCCCCAAACCUGCAGGCAUUUCUGACAGGCUUCUUCCAUCUGCCAUUGUUCAAGAACAGAGGUUGUCUUGGAGUUCUGCUGAAGCAGAGUCCCUUGCAUUGCAAGGGGACCUUGAUAUUACUAGGUCUUCUAACUUUUAUUCCCACUUGAUGGCUCAGAGUAUAAGGAAACCCCAGGAUGCUGUGAAUCAUCGUGAUCAUCUUUACCAGAGUUUCAGCCAUGUGAAGCUGGUUAAAGAAAAGAAUUUUCUAGAAGCAAUGUCUGGAGGUGAUGAGCUCACAGUGGACACCUUAAAUAUCCCUAAAGAAGAAUUGUCCUCAAAUCUUCUAUUCAAUGUUAAACAGUUAGAUCCAGAAUCCAGUGCCGCUAGCAAAGAGAGAGGUGGGGAAAUGUUCUCAACAAAGUUGGUGAGCAAGGGAGUCAAUUUGGAUCCAACUCAGUUCAUCACUUUGCAAAAUCUCAGUGAGGAGCUACAAGGUCCGGAAAGCUCUAGGAGAGUGACAAUGUCCAAUGGAUUUGUGAGGGAUUCUAUAUCUUCUGGCAGCUUGGCUGAUCUCUCUUCUUUCAUGAAGACUCUUCACACUCCCCAGAAUUUCUUCAGAGAAGUCACAGAUGAUUUCCAACCAAGCACUGCUGGUGCUGACACAAGUCCUUCAGUACCUAACUUCCAAGCCAAAGAGGGUCUGCAGACCAAGGCUUUGCUAUCUUUGAGCCCUGAUCAAGUGUGGAAGAACAUGACAACUGAAGGAGUCUUAGUUUUAACCCCAGGAUAUCCUGAUGCAAGAACAACCUCCCAAUCUUUUGGAAAUGGGUCUGCCUUAGAUUUCCAACACUAUCCAGGAGAUAUCCUAUUGGAAGUGACAAUCGAAACGGAGUACCCGGUAAAGAGCCUGCACAAUGCCUCGGAAGUGGAGAAAGUCUUGGUAGAUUUAUUUAAGCAAGAGAUUGAGGAAAAUCUAGGCCACUUUUCACCUGAAACAGAUGCAUUCAAACUAACCAGAAUUAAGAGAAAGGACACCUCAAAUGUCAUGUUUGUUUUCUGGCUACAUCUGAUGUCUAGAGGGAGAAAUAUAUCCAAUUACCUGAUGCCCCAAUUUGGAGCUUCUCUGAGCAGUACCCUGCAUUCCCAAUUAAGAACUCUCAUCAGAGAUGCCAUAGAAGCUCUCCAAAUUCAUCUGAAAUCUAUCUCCAUUGACGAUGUAAAUGAAUGUGAAACUGGCCUAGAACAUUGUGGUGAAGGGGCUGAGUGUUUCAAUGGAGUUGGCACUUACAUUUGCCAUUGCAAAGAAGACCAUGAAGACCGUUCCCCAAUGCAGACUGGAAUCCUAUGUGUCCAUGUCCCACAUUCAGGGGUUGGAUUUUCUUUUAAUUAUCUGGAUCUUGUCAUCAGUGCUUCUGUGUUUGCCACCAUCAUCAUCAUACUGAUCAUAGGUUUAGUGUGGCAGGCAAUGAGAACAACCCAAGAGAAGAAAGAUUUUUGCCUCCAGGAAACAGCAUCCCUGGAGGGUUUGUCUUCAUCACCACUGACCCAAACCAAACCUUACUUUAACCUGAAGAAGUUUAAUAAAUAUUCCCUCUAUAAUCCCUAUCAGCCUAAGCCCCAAGCUAGAGUCAUAGAUGACUCCCUGGAAGACAUAUCCUACCUGAGCAAAGACUCCCAUGUGUGGGUGGAACAGUCCAAAGAACUCUAAUGAUGAUUUAAGGAACAUUUAUUUGUUGUCUCUCUGAUCUCCUGUUGAGUCAGAUGAAGGAGGAGGUGACUUUUCUCUCAGCGGUUAUAAGUGAUCUAUAAACUAUUUUCUCUGGAAGAAGGAAAGACUGAACAUUUUGGAGUAGAUGAUGGGGAAAGGGAGUCUAUCUGGUAACUUGAAAGGAGAGAAUUUCCUAUUGUAAUUCAAUUUGUCUUUUUUGUUCCUUCCUACCUGAAGCAUAUUUUGUGGCUCCCAGCCUUUCUAGGUGAAGGCAUUCACAUGUCUGUGUCUUAACAUCAAGACUUUCCACACUAAUUCCCAUAAUGAGCAAAAGUACAAAUCUAAUGACCUGGAAAAUUUUGUGCCAUCUGACUGGUCUGCAGGAAGCACCUAGGGGUUCAGGAAAUGGAUGGGGCACAUCGUACUUAUUUCCAAAGCUAAUGAAUGAAUCCAGUGACUUUUGAGGAUGCUCAAGUUCAAGUGAUGUUAAUUUAGCACGGUUUAGAAACUCCCAAUUGACCAUAAUGUAGUUUUAUACAAAGAAUUUAAAAAAUUUCACCUCUUGGAGAUGGAGAAAAGCUUUGGUAUUCAAAAAUAAUUCUCUCUUGUACCUAUCAACUAUUUUUUAUAAAGUUAGAAAUGAGUGUUAUAGGAAGACUCUCUUAAUUAUCCCUUAAUCUACUGCUGAAAUACUUUGUUUUAAAUUCUUUUUCAAGAAAUUGUGCCUUUCCCAUAGUCAAAUGCUGCACUGUUCAUUUUUAACCAAUGAUGGCUAACUGUUCAGAGAAGUUCCUUUGUCUGAUAUAGUAGUUUCCUUGUAAGCUGAUCCCCCAAAUAAAAUAAGACUUUUUUUUUUUUGCA
rnacentral:lncRNA from 1 species